GAGAGAGAGAGAGCUUGCUCUCUGACCCGGACACAGCGCGAACCAGCCAGCGACCGACCGGAGUGACGCCGGUUUGCCACCGAUCGACGACUCAAGACCACCGAACUCUUCCUCUUGUCGUCGCCAUCACGCCUGUGGUCUUCGAUUGCCCAUGCACCGGAUGAGGAGGGAGAAACGUCAGUGAGAAGGUCUGAGUCUCUUCGGCUAGUUCUGCAAUUUUCGGCCACCGUCGGAGCUGCAAGUGACGGUCACUUCUUCGAGCCCUACUAGUCUGGAAUUGGUGGAGUGGUGGAAAGGGUGAGCAAAUAGAGAGAAUCUGUCCAAGCUAUUGUGUUCUUCGCCUAAGUACAGACCGUAAUUCGGGAUUCUAAUUUGAUUACAAGGACUCCAGCUACCCGAGGAACGGAAGGUUCGUGAUCUCCGAACAACAUGAGAUGGUAAAGCUUCGAAAUCCAGGUAGGGAACUCAGGACUCUCUAUUGGCUAAUGGUUUUCCAUAUUUGAUUAUACGUGAUGCAUGAUGAAAGUGUAUUGUUAGUUCAAAUUUAAAAUGUUUUCAAGUUAACGUGCGUAUAAGAUUGUUGAUGGCGGUGUGGGAGAGCGGAAAGGUGGUCGAUGACUUCCUUGGGGAUUAGCCACCCCUAAACCUCCGGAGGGUUAGCUACACCGGUCGGACGGUGCGCAAUCGCAAUGACGACCCGGUUCCGUGUGUGUAGCUAGUGUGUUAAGUUUGGCGCUCUGUGACUGGUAAGGUCAGAUAUUGGUUCUACGGAACUAGGCCAUCAGGUAAAUCACACGUAGUUUUCUAAUCAUGCAUCGAGUUUUAAGAUUAAUGAUAUUUUAAGUUUGUCGUUCUUACAUAUAUAUUCGCUUUGUUUUCACACUGGGCCCAAAUCCAAAUUAUUACAAAGUUGAGUUGAUUUUCAAACUUAGCCGGAGUAGGUCCCAUAGAGCAGCGAGGACGAAAGCUCACCCCUACAACAGUGAAUGUGCAGGUACUGUGCACUGGUAACGGGAUUGUAGCGGACGGAGCUGGGUGCGCGGAAUUUGAUAACCCUUCCGGACGGUAAACGAGUUUCUGAUGUACUCUUGAUCUUUAUUUCUUGAUCCACGCCUUUCUGAAACUUGUUGUUGAGUGUUCAUUGUGUGGUUAAGUCUAUUAGUCCUCGACUAUUCAAAAAUGACAAGUUCUAGACGAACAAAGUGAAUUUUGUAAUUUCAAGAAGCUUUCACCUCAAAAAUAUUUGUAGCUUCUGUUGUGUUUAUACAAAAC